rnacentral:snRNA from 1 species
GUGCUUGAUUUGGCGGCAGCACAUAUGCUAAAAUUGGAACGAUACAGAGAAGAUUAGCAUGGCCCCUGGGCAAGGAUGACAUGCAAAUUCAUGAAACAUUCCAUAUAAAA